rnacentral:sRNA from 3 species
AUGUACCACUCGUACAAUCCGGUUCCUGCGCGCCGUCCGCGCCCACCUGACAGCUGCUCGCUACGUCUUGUUAGCC